CUCCCUCCUACAAGGCCCAAUUUGCCUGGCUCUUCGUAUAAAGAGAGAGUGACUACUUAUUUUGAAAACAGGACUCUGCUACUUUCUUACAUGAACAUCGCGAGAACUCUCAACCUUUUCUUUCUCCCAAAAAAGAUUUUCAUCAUGACCCCAUAUGAUCAUUCCUCCAUCCUAUACCAAAACGCAUUUUACAAAAAGGUUCAAAUACUUCCUUGGCCUUUUAAAAUGGUCCCUUUUUCGUGGCACAUACCCGGAGGCUUUGAGUUUAUUUUUUUUAGAUUAACAUCGGUAUCCAGGUCAGCUUGUGUAUAUCUCGAUUACUUUUAUAGACUUCUGGAAAGCAAGCUCAAAACCUGACAAGUUAAGCUACACCCUGAGUAUAUUACCCAACUACAAAGAUGACUAUGAUAGACUACUCAACACGGUGAUCAUAAACCCUAUUUCGAAUCAUUUUGAUCAAGAGCAGAAGGCAUGAGAGUAGAUUCCCAGCCAGUACUAAGUCCAAAUGAUGUUGUGGCAGCAAUUGGAAACGAAGGAUCUGUACUGGCUGGUGCACUAUUCACAUUAGGCUCGUUAAAGAUCUGGUGUUGUUGGAAAGCCUCCUCAUUUAUGAGUGAAUUGAGGAAGGAAAACACAUCUUCGGUGCCAGAAUUGAUAUCUUCAGCUUCUCCAUUACCAAGCCUUUGAUUACCUCUCAAAUCCGUCCCAAAAGAACCAUCAUAAUUCAGCAAACUUGUGUAGCCACGACUUGCAAUAAAAUGGUCCGUGUGAUACUGAUCACCCAGGUGUGCAUUACUGUUGUUUUGAAAAUACCCAUUCUCUUUGUUGCUGAUUAUGUGAGCACUGCCACUGGUAGUUUCUUCCAAACCAGAAGAAGCAAUCUUAAUAGGCUCUUUUAGGCUUUCUUGCAGGUGGUUCGCUUUCGACGAAGAAGGUUUGGAUUGAUCAAAAGAUUGAGGAUUGAUGAGAGGCUUGUGGGUUCUUGGAUCAAUUCCUUGGCUUAUCAACUUCUUACUCAGUGUGUGUGUACCUAUUGCCUAGGAGGCGAUGGAGGCGGAGAAUGAGAUCUUCUUCAUCAGGGGAGAUCUGGCCACGUUUAACAGAAGGGCGGAGGUAGUUCAUCCAGCGGAGACGGCAGCUUUUGCCACAGCGGAGAAGACCAGCUUUCUUGGGUAAAGUUCGCCACCGACCUUCACCUUCUUUCUUGAUAUAGUUAGCUAGAAGUUCAUCUUCUUCAGGUGUCCAUGGUCCUCUCUUUAACCCUACCUUGAUGCAACACGGAGUAGAUUUUGCCGCUGGUCCUCGUCCUGCUGCCGCUGCUUCAGCUGUAGCUGUAGAUGAAGUUGGCUUUCUCAUGUUGAAUAAUAUGAUACCUUGAAGUUCUCUCUGUCGAUUGAAGUAAACUUUAUAUACCUACCUACCUUUUUUAAUUUCUCUUUGGUUCUAUAUGGAUAUGAAUCUAGGUAGGAUGCCGUGUGUGUGUAUGUGUUGUGUAGUGAUGUGAUGAGAUUUGAGGGUUGAUAGCUAGAAAGGAGGGGAAGCUUGGGGAUAUUGGAGGAUAAGGAAAUGGGAACUCUUGCCUUUUGUUUUGUUUGUGUAAGGUAAAUGCCGGUGGGUUUUUAUUUUUAUUUUUAUUUUUAUUAUUUCUUUUUGGAUCAGACACUGUAUGGUUUGGAUUUAUUUGGGAUUGAAAGGGAGGAAAAUGAUUUAUAGUCACUCUCCUUGGAGAGAGUGAAUAUAUUAAUUCAACAAUAUUUUUCACGCUA